rnacentral:lncRNA from 1 species
UGUGGGAGUCCACUGCAAUAAUCCAGGAGAGAAAUCAUGUGAGCUUGAGAAGGAAUCAGAUUCUGCAUAUAUUUCCAAGUUAACAUGAACAAGAUUUUCUGAAAGACUGCUAUGGAGUCUGAGAAAAAAUGUCAAAGGUAGUGCCAAAAUUGUCACUUAAAGAACUGCAGGAAUGGAGUUGGCAUUUACAGAAUUUGGAAGAGAAGCAGGUUUAGUGAUAAAGACCAGAAGCACAGAGCUAAGCAUAUUAAAUAUUGAGGACAUGAAGAGGAAAGAACUGACAGAGGAGGUGAAGAAAGGUGAUCAGGAAGAGCCAUCAAAGUGUUAUCCUGGAAUUCAAGUGAAGACAGUGUUUCAAAGUGGAAAUGAACAGUGUCCUGUAACCCUCAGAGUGAGACUAGAGUCAGAAUGCAGGCUUUUCUCAUUUGAAAUCUAUAUGCCACAGAGAGGAUCCAGAGAGCCCAUCUCCGGUCAGUUAUCUGUAUUUGUAUGUCAACUACAGCAUCAAAAAGCAUAGGCAUGGAUACUAAGGACCCCCUCUGUACACCAACGCCAGUCCAAAGGACAGUGUGUCACUGUGAACUGGAAAUUCAUCUCUCUUCUUCAAUUUUUUUCUACCUACUUUAUGCUUUAUCUCUAAGUUGAGGCUGUUUAUGGCCUCAUCCUCAAUUACCUUGUCCCUC